UACGUAGGGGACGAGCGUUGUCCGGAAUUAUUGGGCGUAAAGAGCUCGUAGGCGGUUUGUCGCGUCUGCCGUGAAAGUCCGGGGCUCAACUCCGGAUCUGCGGUGGGUACGGGCAGACUAGAGUGUGGUAGGGGAGACUGGAAUUCCUGGUGUAGCGGUGAAAUGCGCAGAUAUCAGGAGGAACACCGAUGGCGAAGGCAGGUCUCUGGGCCACUACUGACGCUGAGAAGCGAAAGCAUGGGGAGCGAACAGG
rnacentral:rRNA from 1 species